AGCGUACACGGUGGAUGCCCUGGCAGUCAGAGGCGAUGAAGGACGUGCUAAUCUGCGAUAAGCGUCGGUAAGGUGAUAUGAACCGUUAUAACCGGCGAUUUCCGAAUGGGGAAACCCAGUGUGWUUCGWCACACUAUCAUUAACUGAAUCCAUAGGUUAAUGAGGCGAACCGGGGGAACUGAAACAUCUAAGUACCCCGAGGAAAAGAAAUCAACCGAGAUUCCCCCAGUAGCGGCGAGCGAACGGGGAGCAGCCCAGAGCCUGAAUCAGUGUGUGUGUUAGUGGAAGCGUCUGGAAAGGCGCGCGAUACAGGGUGACAGCCCCGUACACAAAAAUGCACAURCUGUGAGCUCGAUGAGUAGGGCGGGACACGUGGUAUCCUGUCUGAAUAUGGGGGGACCAUCCUCCAAGGCUAAAUACUCCUGACUGACCGAUAGUGAACCAGUACCGUGAGGGAAAGGCGAAAAGAACCCCGGCGAGGGGAGUGAAAAAGAACCUGAAACCGUGUACGUACAAGCAGUGGGAGCACGCUUCGGCGUGUGACUGCGUACCUUUUGUAUAAUGGGUCAGCGACUUAUAUUCUGUAGCAAGGUUAACCGAAUAGGGGAGCCGAAGGGAAACCGAGUCUUAACUGGGCGUUAAGUUGCAGGGUAUAGACCCGAAACCCGGUGAUCUAGCCAUGGGCAGGUUGAAGGUUGGGUAACACUAACUGGAGGACCGAACCGACUAAUGUUGAAAAAUUAGCGGAUGACUUGUGGCUGGGGGUGAAAGGCCAAUCAAACCGGGAGAUAGCUGGUUCUCCCCGAAAGCUAUUUAGGUAGCGCCUCGUGAAUUCAUCUCCGGGGGUAGAGCACUGUUUCGGCAAGGGGGUCAUCCCGACUUACCAACCCGAUGCAAACUGCGAAUACCGGAGAAUGUUAUCACGGGAGACACACGGCGGGUGCUAACGUCCGUCGUGAAGAGGGAAACAACCCAGACCGCCAGCUAAGGUCCCAAAGUCAUGGUUAAGUGGGAAACGAUGUGGGAAGGCCCAGACAGCCAGGAUGUUGGCUUAGAAGCAGCCAUCAUUUAAAGAAAGCGUAAUAGCUCACUGGUCGAGUCGGCCUGCGCGGAAGAUGUAACGGGGCUAAACCAUGCACCGAAGCUGCGGCAGCGACACUAUGUGUUGUUGGGUAGGGGAGCGUUCUGUAAGCCUGUGAAGGUGUGCUGUGAGGUAUGCUGGAGGUAUCAGAAGUGCGAAUGCUGACAUAAGUAACGAUAAAGCGGGUGAAAAGCCCGCUCGCCGGAAGACCAAGGGUUCCUGUCCAACGUUAAUCGGGGCAGGGUGAGUCGACCCCUAAGGCGAGGCCGAAAGGCGUAGUCGAUGGGAAACAGGUUAAUAUUCCUGUACUUGGUGUUACUGCGAAGGGGGGACGGAGAAGGCUAUGUUGGCCGGGCGACGGUUGUCCCGGUUUAAGCGUGUAGGCUGGUUUUCCAGGCAAAUCCGGAAAAUCAAGGCUGAGGCGUGAUGACGAGGCACUACGGUGCUGAAGYAACAAAUGCCCUGCUUCCAGGAAAAGCCUCUAAGCAUCAGGUAACAUCAAAUCGUACCCCAAACCGACACAGGUGGUCAGGUAGAGAAUACCAAGGCGCUUGAGAGAACUCGGGUGAAGGAACUAGGCAAAAUGGUGCCGUAACUUCGGGAGAAGGCACGCUGAUAUGUAGGUGAAGCGACUUGCUCGUGGAGCUGAAAUCAGUCGAAGAUACCAGCUGGCUGCAACUGUUUAUUAAAAACACAGCACUGUGCAAACACGAAAGUGGACGUAUACGGUGUGACGCCUGCCCGGUGCCGGAAGGUUAAUUGAUGGGGUCAGCGCAAGCGAAGCUCUUGAUCGAAGCCCCGGUAAACGGCGGCCGUAACUAUAACGGUCCUAAGGUAGCGAAAUUCCUUGUCGGGUAAGUUCCGACCUGCACGAAUGGCGUAAUGAUGGCCAGGCUGUCUCCACCCGAGACUCAGUGAAAUUGAACUCGCUGUGAAGAUGCAGUGUACCCGCGGCAAGACGGAAAGACCCCGUGAACCUUUACUAUAGCUUGACACUGAACAUUGAGCCUUGAUGUGUAGGAUAGGUGGGAGGCUUUGAAGUGUGGACGCCAGUCUGCAUGGAGCCGACCUUGAAAUACCACCCUUUAAUGUUUGAUGUUCUAACGUUGACCCGUGAUCCGGGUUGCGGACAGUGUCUGGUGGGUAGUUUGACUGGGGCGGUCUCCUCCUAAAGAGUAACGGAGGAGCACGAAGGUUGGCUAAUCCUGGUCGGACAUCAGGAGGUUAGUGCAAUGGCAUAAGCCAGCUUGACUGCGAGCGUGACGGCGCGAGCAGGUGCGAAAGCAGGUCAUAGUGAUCCGGUGGUUCUGAAUGGAAGGGCCAUCGCUCAACGGAUAAAAGGUACUCCGGGGAUAACAGGCUGAUACCGCCCAAGAGUUCAUAUCGACGGCGGUGUUUGGCACCUCGAUGUCGGCUCAUCACAUCCUGGGGCUGAAGUAGGUCCCAAGGGUAUGGCUGUUCGCCAUUUAAAGUGGUACGCGAGCUGGGUUUAGAACGUCGUGAGACAGUUCGGUCCCUAUCUGCCGUGGGCGCUGGAGAACUGAGGGGGGCUGCUCCUAGUACGAGAGGACCGGAGUGGACGCAUCACUGGUGUUCGGGUUGUCAUGCCAAUGGCACUGCCCGGUAGCUAAAUGCGGAAGAGAUAAGUGCUGAAAGCAUCUAAGCACGAAACUUGCCCCGAGAUGAGUUCU
rnacentral:rRNA from 1 species